AAAGAGUCGGUUAGCUUGAGAAUGCUGACCUAAGAUAGGUGAUAAAUUUCAUCUAAGGCUAAAUACUGGUGGGAGACCGAUAGCAAACAAGUACCGUGAGGGAAAGUUUAAAAGCACUUUGAAAAGAGAGUGAAAAGAACCUGAAACCGUUACGUGGAAACCGCAUUGCAGCAGAGUGAAGGACCCGACCUGUUCAGCCUAGUUUUCUAGGUGUACUCAGGGCGGUGCUCCGCCAGCCGUGAGCUCCUGGUGGCCAAUUUUUGCGCUGCUAGGGGUGGAGGGCUCCCUUUCGAGGUUGAGGACGUGCUGGAUAAUGCUGCGAUUCGACCCGUCUUGAAACACGGACCAAGGAGUGUAGCAUAUCUGCGAGUCAAAGGGUUUUGAAACCUGAGGGCGCAGUGAAAGCGACUGUAAAACACGCAGUUUGCGGCGGCAUACGAUCUUUGAUCGUAGGUCCGACCUAGAGCAGGUAUGCUGCGACCCGAAAGAUGGUGAACUAUACUUGAGUAGGGUGAAGCCAGGAGAAAUUCUGGUGGAAGCUCGUAGCGGUGCUGACGUGCAAAUCGCUCGUCAAACUUGAGUAUAGGGGCGAAAGACUAAUCGAACCAUCUGGUAGCUGGUUUCCUCCGAAGUUUCUCUCAGGAUAGCGGACCAAACUAAUGUUGUUGUGCACGGUAAAGCGAAUGAUUAGCGUAUUUGGGGGAAUUUAUUCCUUCUGGCGAUUCUCAAACUUUAAAUGUGCACGGAAAUUGCUGCUCAACUGAGCAAUUUCGUUAAAAACAUUUGGUUCCGUGGGCCAUUUUUGGUAAGCAGAACUGGCGAUAUGGGAUGAACCAUAAGCGUGGUUAAGGCGCCAAAUUGCCCGCUUAU
rnacentral:rRNA from 1 species